CGGGGUGUGGCGCAGUUGGAAGCGCGCCGCGUUUGGGACGCGGAGGUCGACGGUUCAAGUCCGUCCACCCCGA
rnacentral:tRNA from 1 species